GAACUGCAGCGUGAUUAGGACAGUCAAAGUGCCUCACCAACAAUCAGGGGCUCCUAAAGGAACAGCCAGGGUACAGAGAGAAGAAGAAAGAGAAGAGAAGCAGCAGAAUCAAUGCACACGAUGACCUGACAGCCAGAGUUCAAAUUCAGGAAACCACAGUGGUGGACUUCCCCUGCACACGGAGCUGUGAUUCAAAUCAAUGGUAUUGACCCAGAGAAGCAAAUCAAUAUUCUCAAGGGCACCGAUAAGGACCUCACCGCGUGAUGCAACUACAGCUGUUUGAAUGGAGGAUGGAAAUGUGAUGGAAGAUUUCCUCAGUGGCUGCCAGGAGUGUAAUUAAAUGGUUCAUGGUGGUGUAAAGACUGAA